GAAGUUUGUUAACAUGCUCAACAUCAAUAUGAAAACCUUCUCUCGUUGUUGGAGAAGCAUUGUCCUCUCUUUUGAAUAAAAUGGGCAUUUUCGGUCCAGAAUCUGGUGGCCCCAAAUCAUUUGGAGGUUGAGGUACAGUAGCUCGGCCACGACCAGCAGGUGACCGCAAAUCAUUUGGAGGUUGAGGUACAAUACCUCGGCCACGGCCAGCAGGUGAUUGCAAAUCAUUUUGAUAGUGGGGCACAGUAGCCCGGCCUCGACCAGCUUGUGGCUGAUUUAUGGAAGAUAAAAUUGAUGAGAAAGAAGGAAGGCCUGGCGGACGGAUUGGCUUGCCA
rnacentral:lncRNA from 1 species